AUUGAACGCUGGCGGCAGGCCUAACACAUGCAAGUCGAACGAGUGGCGGACGGGCGAGCUAGGUCUGGGCAAUUGCCUGAGGGAGGGGGACAAGUACGGGAAACUGUAGCUAAUACCGCAUACCAGCGGAUGUGCCCAGAUGGGAGUAGCGAGUUGGUGGGGUAAAGGCUCACCUAGGCGACGAUCCCUAGCUGGGCUGAGAGGAUGAUCAGCCACACUGGGACUGAGACACGGUCCAGACUCCUACGGGAGGCAGCAGUGGGGAAUAUUGCACAAUGGGCUCAAGCCUGAUCCAGCCAUGCCGCGUGUGUGAAGAAGGCCUUCGGAUUGUAAAGUACUUUCAGCAGGGAGGCGUUACCCACAGAAGAAGCACCGGCUAACUCCGUGCCAGCAGCCGCGGUAAUUC
rnacentral:rRNA from 1 species